rnacentral:rRNA from 1 species
AGCAGUAGCCGCGGUAAUACGUAGGUGGCAAGCGUUGUCCGGAAUUAUUGGGCGUAAAGGGCUCGCAGGCGGUUUCUUAAGUCUGAUGUGAAAGCCCCCGGCUCAACCGGGGAGGGUCAUUGGAAACUGGGAAACUUGAGUGCAGAAGAGGAGAGUGGAAUUCCACGUGUAGCGGUGAAAUGCGUAGAGAUGUGGAGGAACACCAGUGGCGAAGGCGACUCUCUAGUCUGUAACUGACGCUGAGGAGCGAAAGCGUGGGGAGCGAACAGGAUUAGAUACCCGUGUAGUCCCUGUCUCUUAUAC